CCUACGGGUGGCAGCAGUGAGGAAUAUUGGUCAAUGGGCGGGAGCCUGAACCAGCCAAGCCGCGUGAGGGAAGAAGGUACAGCGUAUCGUAAACCUCUUUUGUCAGGGAACAAAGGCGGGGACGAGUCCCCGGAUGAGGGUACCCGAAGAAAAAGCAUCGGCCAACUCCGUGCCAGCAGCCGCGGUAGUACGGAGGAUGCGGGCGUUAUCCGGAUUUAUUGGGUUUAAAGGGUGCGCAGGCGGCCUGUUAAGGCAGCGGUAAAAGCCCGGGGCUCCCCCCCGGCGUGCCGUUGAAACUGGCGGUCUGGAGUUGGCGAGCAGUACGCGGUAUGCGCGGUGUCGCGGUGAAAUGCUUAGAUAUCGCGCAGAACCCCGAUUGCGAAGGCAGCGUACCGGCUCCACACUGACGCUGAGGCACGAACGCGUGGGUAUCGAACAGGAUUAGAUACCCGGGUAGUC
rnacentral:rRNA from 1 species